AUUCCGGAAGUUGCUCUCAGAGGCCGCGUGCGGUUGUUCGCUUUGUGAAAUUCCACCAUGGCGUACCGUGGCCAGGGCCAGAAAGUGCAGAAGGUUAUGGUGCAGCCCAUCGUAUCCUACGCGGGAUGUCAGGACUAGGAGCCACUGUGGUGCAGAACCUCAUCUUCAGAUACUUACAAAAUAGAUCGCGGAUUCAGGUGUGGCUCUAUGAGCAAGUGAAUAUGCGGAUAGAAGGCUGUAUCAUUGGUUUUGAUGAGUAUAUGAACCUUGUAUUAGAUGAUGCAGAAGAGAUUCAUUCUAAAACAAAGUCAAGAAAACAACUGGGUCGGAUCAUGCUAAAAGGAGAUAAUAUUACUCUGCUACAAAGUGUCUCCAACUAGAAAUGAUCAAUGAAGUGAGAAAUUGUUGAGAAGGAUACAGUUUGUUUUUAGAUGUCCUUUGUCCAGUGUGAACAUUUAUUCAUAUUGUUUUGAUUACCCUUGUGUUACUACAAGAUGGCAAUAAAUACUAUGGGAUUGUUUGUAUUAAAAAA
rnacentral:sRNA from 1 species